AUAAACGUUCAGUUUUAAUUGAGUGAGUGAGUAUGGUUUACGUCAUUUUUAGCAAUAUUCGAGCAAUAUUGUGGCGGGAGACACAAGUGAUUGGCUUC